rnacentral:lncRNA from 1 species
AACUUUUCUUCUCCCUUUUCUCUCAAUAGAUAAAUCCACAACCUCUUCUAAAUUAACGAUUUUCCUCAACAAUUUCCCUUUUCCCCUCUCAAAAUUCUCCAAUUAAGGAUAUGGAUAUGUGUUGUUGUGGAUUUCACAGGGGUAAGACAAGAUGUUGUGGUUAGGCUUAUGAGUUCUGGUAGAGGAACCGGUGACAAUGGUUAAGGGCAAUUACAGAAUAAAAAGAUUAUAAAAGUAACCCAACAACAAAUGAAUAAUUGAUUUUGAGAAGCUAGGAUUCUUAGCUUUUGGUAGAAUAGAGUUUAGAGGACAGAAUUGAUUCUUGAAGAGAAAGCCAAACAUGUUGACAGAAGACAAAAAUCACGUUUAUGGGUCUAAACGCAAGUUUGAGGUGCGGAAACGCGGAACCAAACACAUGCUUAG